rnacentral:rRNA from 1 species
UACGUAGGGGGCAAGCGUUGUCCGGAUUUAUUGGGCGUAAAGAGCGUGUAGGCGGCCUGAAAGGUCAGCUGUGAAAACUCGAGGCUCAACCUCGAGACGUCGGUUGAAACCAUCUGGCUAGAGUCCGGAAGAGGAGUGUGGAAUUUCCGGUGGAGCGGUGAAAUGCGUAGAGAUCGGAAAGAACACCAACGGCGAAAGCACUCUGCUGGGCCGACACUGACACUGAGAGACGAAAGCUAGGGGAGCGAAUGGG